UACAGAGGGGGCAAGCGUUAUUCGGAAUUAUUGGGCGUAAAGGGCGCGUAGGCGGCUUUGCAAGUGACGGGUGAAAUCCCUCGGCUUAACCGAGGAACUGCCUGUCAAACUGCAUGGCUUGGGACCGGGAGAGGUGAGUGGAAUUCCCAGUGUAGCGGUGAAAUGCGUAGAUAUUGGGAGGAACACCAGUGGCGAAGGCGGCUCACUGGCCCGGUACUGACGCUGAGGUGCGAAAGCGUGGGGGAGCAAACAGG
rnacentral:rRNA from 1 species